rnacentral:rRNA from 1 species
AUGAACGCUGGCGGCGUGCCUAACACAUGCAAGUCGAACGGAGAUUAACGCUGAUGAAGCUUCGGCAGAUUCUUGUUAAAUCUUAGUGGCGGACGGGUGAGUAACGCGUGGGCAACCUGCCUCAUACUGGGGGAUAACAGCUGGAAACGACUGUUAAUACCGCAUAAGCGCACGGUAUCGCAUGAUACAGUGUGAAAAACUCCGGUGGUAUGAGAUGGGCCCCGCGUCAGAUUAGCCAGUUGGCAGGGUAACGGCCUACCAAAGCGACGAUCUGUAGCCGGCCUGAGAGGGCGGACGGCCACAUUGGGACUGAGACACGGCCCAAACUCCUACGGGAGGCAGCAGUGGGGGAUAUUGCACAAUGGAGGAAACUCUGAUGCAAGCGACGCCGCGUGAGUGAAGAAGUAUUUCGGUAUGUAAAGCUCUAUCAGCAGGGAAGAUCAUGACGGUACCCGACUAAGAAGCCCCGGCUAAUUACGUGCCAGCCGCCGC